GGGCACAUGGUGUAGUUGGUUUAUCACGCCCGCUUAGCAUAAUGAUGAUUUGGGAAGUGCUUUGUGCGGGAGGUGUUGGGUUCAAUUCCCAAUGUGUCCA